rnacentral:rRNA from 1 species
UAGGGAAUCUUCCGCAAUGGGCGAAAGCCUGACGGAGCAACGCCGCGUGAGUGAUGAAGGUCUUCGGAUCGUAAAACUCUGUUAUUAGGGAAGAACAAAUGUGUAAGUAACUAUGCACAUCUUGACGGUACCUAAUCAGAAAGCCACGGCUAACUACGUGCCAGCAGCCGCGGUAAUACGUAGGUGGCAAGCGUUGUCCGGAUUUAUUGGGCGUAAAGCGAGCGCAGGCGGUCAAUUAAGUCUGAUGUGAAAGCCCCCGGCUCAACCGGGGAGGGUCAUUGGAAACUGGUUGACUUGAGUGCAGAAGAGGAGAGUGGAAUUCCAUGUGUAGCGGUGAAAUGCGCAGAGAUAUGGAGGAACACCAGUGGCGAAGGCGACUUUCUGGUCUGUAACUGACGCUGAUGUGCGAAAGCGUGGGGAUCAAACAGG